rnacentral:rRNA from 1 species
AACGAACGCUGGCGGCAUGCCUAACACAUGCAAGUCGAACGAGACCUUCGGGUCUAGUGGCGCACGGGUGCGUAACGCGUGGGAACCUGCCCUUAGGUUCGGAAUAACUCCCCGAAAGGGGUGCUAAUACCGGAUAAUGUCUUCGGACCAAAGAUUUAUCGCCUUUGGAUGGGCCCGCGUUGGAUUAGCUAGUUGGUAGGGUAAAAGCCUACCAAGGCGACGAUCCAUAGCUGGUCUGAGAGGAUGAUCAGCCACACUGGGACUGAGACACGGCCCAGACUCCUACGGGAGGCAGCAGUGGGGAAUAUUGGACAAUGGGCGAAAGCCUGAUCCAGCAAUGCCGCGUGAGUGAUGAAGGCCUUAGGGUUGUAAAGCUCUUUUACCCGGGAUGAUAAUGACAGUACCGGGAGAAUAAGCUCCGGCUAACCACGUG